rnacentral:tRNA from 2 species
GGGCGUAUAGCUCAGUUGGCUAGAGCGCAGCCCUGAUAAGGCUGAGGUCUCUGGUUCGAAUCCAGAUACGCCCA